rnacentral:rRNA from 1 species
AACGAACGCUGGCGGCAGGCCUAACACAUGCAAGUCGAGCGCCCCAGCAAUGGGGAGCGGCAGACGGGUGAGUAACGCGUGGGUAUCUACCUAGUGGUGCGGAAUAGCCCAGGGAAACUUGGAGUAAUACCGCAUAAGCCCGAAAGGGGAAGAUUUAUCGCCAUUAGAUGAGCCCGCGUUGGAUUAGCUAGUUGGUGGGUAACGGCCCACCAAGGCGACGAUCCAUAGCUGGUCUGGGAGGAUGAUCAGCCACACUGGGACUGAGACACGGCCCAGACUCCUACGGGAGGCAGCAGUGGGGAAUAUUGGACAAUGGGCGCAAGCCUGAUCCAGCCAUGCCGCGUGAGUGACGAAGGUCUUCGGAUUGUAAAGCUCUUUUGGCGGGGACGAUAAUGACGGUACCCGCAGAAUAAGCCCCGGCUAACUUCGUGCCAGCAGCCGCGGUAAU